AGGACAGAGAUUAAAAAGUUACAAGACAUUUAGACAAGGCGGGCAAUAGUGAUGCCAUGUUACGAGCCUUAAGGACAGCUGAAGUCCUUAAGGUCCCUGAAAAUGGCUACAGUA